AGUGAACGCUGGCGGUAGGCCUAACACAUGCAAGUCGAACGGCAGCACAGUAAGUGCUUGCUCUUACGGGUGGCGAGUGGCGGACGGGUGAGGAAUACAUCGGACUCUACUUUUUCGUGGGGGAUAACGUAGGGAAACUUACGCUAAUACCGCAUACGACCUACGGGUGAAAGCAGGGGAUCUUCGGACCUUGCGCGAUUGAAUGAGCCGAUGUCGGAUUAGAUAGUUGGCGGGGUAAAGGCCCACCAAGGCGACGAUCCGUAGCUGGUCUGAGAGGAUGAUCAGCGACACUGGAACUGAGACAGGGACCAGGCGCCUACGGGAGGCAGUAGUGGGGAAUAUUGGACAGUGGGCGCAAGCCUGGUCCAGCCAUACCGCGUGGGAGAAGAAGGCCUUCGGGUUGUAAAGCCCUUUUGUUGGGAAAAAAAAGCAGCAGGUUAAUACCCCGCUGUUCUGACGGUACCCAAAGAAUAAGCACCGGCUAACUUCGUG
rnacentral:rRNA from 1 species